rnacentral:rRNA from 1 species
GACGGAGGAUGCAAGUGUUAUCCGGAAUCACUGGGCGUAAAGCGACUGUAGGUGGUCAAAUAAGUCAACUGUUAAAUCUUGAGGCUCAACCUCAAAAUCGCAGUCGAAACUAUUAGACUAGAGUAUAGUAGGGGUAAAGGGAAUUUCCAGUGGAGCGGUGAAAUGCGUAGAGAUUGGAAAGAACACCGAUGGCGAAGGCACUUUACUGGGCUAUUACUAACACUCAGAGACGAAAGCUAGGGUAGCAAAUGGG